UAAACUAUAGAAAACAAGAUGCUAAGAUAGGCUAAGAUGAUUAGGUAGGUUUUGUUGUCAUCAGUACACUACCAUUUAUCAUUUUCUGAAACAUAUGCUACUUAUACAUAUAUUUGUCUGGUUACUUAAUUAGACUAUUUUUAAGCAACCACAUAAAAUUAAUAAAUGUGAUUGACCAAGACAUUUGUCCAUUAAAAUACUGUCUCCCAAGCAUAUACAAGCUUCACCUCCUCUGUUAUUCAACAGUUGUUGUGUAUCCUGUGCCUGCCAUGGGGAAGAUUUGCUGUGAAUCAGACGAUGGAGGACUGGACAUAACAGGAUUCUUAGUGGUGAUUUUUCUCGCAGUUAUGCUGAUAGUUGUUUGCACUUCACCACCAAGGCACCGUGUUACAUACAUAUAUCGGUGCCCUCCUUGCAGAUAGACUUCCAAUUUGGGGUCGAUGUGUGGACUUAUGAGGAAAAGUGCAGUGUUCGAGAAGUUAUUUUUAGUAAGGCUAUCAGUAUUCUUCUGCUCUGGAAGCUGGAUAUGAAAAAUCAAGCCGAUGAGUUCCUGCAGUUUACUGUGGCUGAGCAGUGAACAAGUUUAAACAUCAACAUUAUUGAUCAUAGCUUUGCAGUAUAAAUCUGUACUUAUUUUCUACUUUCAAUUUAAUUUGAGGGUGAACAUCUGUUCAGUGAAACUUGAGGAAGACUUCAAUUUCCAUCUGUAUUCCUUCAAGAUGUUGACAUUUGUUUUCCAACAAUAACAAAGAAAAUAUCAAGAAUCUUUGUUAGAUCAA